rnacentral:rRNA from 1 species
CACGUAGGCACCAAGCGUUGUCCGGAUUUAUUGGGCGUAAAGAGCUCGUAGGCGGUUCGGUUAGUCGGGUGUGAAAACUUUGGGCUCAACCCAAAGCGUGCACUCGAUACUGCCGUGACUAGAGUUCGGUAGGGGAGUGGGGAAUUCCUAGUGUAGCGGUGAAAUGCGCAGAUAUUAGGAGGAACACCGGUGGCGAAGGCGCCACUCUGGGCCGAAACUGACGCUGAGGCGCGAAAGCGUGGGGAGCAAACAGGG